ACUACGGGGGGCAGCAGUGAGGAAUAUUGGUCAAUGGACGAGAGUCUGAACCAGCCAAGUAGCGUGAAGGGUGACUGCCCUAUGGGUUGUAAACUUCUUUUAUAUGGGAAUAAAACAGGGUAUGCAUACCCUCUUGUAUGUACCAUAUGAAUAAGGAUCGGCUAACUCCGUGCCAGCAGCCGCGGUAAUACGGGGGAUCCGAGCGUUAUCCGGAUUUAUUGGGUUUAAAGGGUGCGUAGGUGGAUUGUUAAGUCAGUUGUGAAAGUUUGCGGCUCAACCGUAAAAUUGCAGUUGAAACUGGCAGGCUUGAGUACAGUAGAGGUGGGCGGAAUUCGUGGUGUAGCGGUGAAAUGCUUAGAUAUCACGAAGAACUCCGAUUGCGAAGGCAGCUCACUGGACUGCAACUGACACUGAUGCUCGAAAGUGUGGGUAUCAAACAGGAUUAGAUACCCGGGUAGUC
rnacentral:rRNA from 1 species